AUGAGCGAGUCCUCGCAGUUUGCUACUAGUGCUCCAAAAUGUUUCUCCCAACCCAACUUGCACAUACACAUCAAGAGGCUAAAAAUUCCGUUGGGCUGCAUGGUCACAGCAGAGCAAAGAGGCUUGUACGGUACUCAAAACAGCUCACUGAUGCAUGGCGAUGCUGCAGGAUGGCUACAGGGACUCACGGGUCAGGCUGGCUUCAGCUUGGACUGGGGGAGAGCAGAAAAGGCGCAAGAAAAGAAUCUUUCAAUCAAGGGCAGCAAAGAAGCCCAAGCUCACAAACCCCACCAAGUUAAUUAA
rnacentral:rRNA from 1 species